rnacentral:rRNA from 1 species
AUACGGAGGGUGCAAGCGUUAAUCGGAAUUACUGGGCGUAAAGCGCGCGUAGGCGGUUUGAUCAGUCGGAUGUGAAAGCCCUGGGCUCAACCUGGGAACUGCAUUCGAUACUGUCAGACUAGAAUAUGGUAGAGGGUAGUGGAAUUCCUGGUGUAGCGGUGAAAUGCGUAGAUAUCAGGAGGAACAUCAGUGGCGAAGGCGGCUACCUGGACCAAUACUGACGCUGAGGUGCGAAAGCGUUGGGAGCAAACAGGAUUAGAAACCCUAGUAGUCC